GGGGAUUUAGUUCAGUGGUAGAGCACUUGCCUAGCAAGCACAAGGCCCUGGGUUCAGUCCCCAGCUCCG
rnacentral:tRNA from 1 species